rnacentral:rRNA from 1 species
GAUGAACGCUGGCGGCGUGCCUAAUACAUGCAAGUCGAGCGAACGGACGAGAAGCUUGCUUCUCUGAUGUUGGCGGCGGACGGGUGAGUAACACGUGGAUAACCUACCUAUAAGACUGGGAUAACUUCGGGAAACCGGAGCUAAUACCGGAUAAUAUUUUGAACCGCAUGGUUCAAAAGUGAAAGACGGUCUUGCUGUCACUUAUAGAUGGAUCCGCGCUGCAUUAGCUAGUUGGUAAGGUAACGGCUUACCAAGGCAACGAUGCAUAGCCGACCUGAGAGGGUGAUCGGCCACACUGGAACUGAGACACGGUCCAGACUCCUACGGGAGGCAGCAGUAGGGAAUCUUCCGCAAUGGGCGAAAGCCUGACGGAGCAACGCCGCGUGAGUGAUGAAGGUCUUCGGAUCGUAAAACUCUGUUAUUAGGGAAGAACAUAUGUGUAAGUAACUGUGCACAUCUUGACGGUACCUAAUCAGAAAGCCACGGCUAACUAC